AUGCAUUCAGGGAUCUGGUGCUCCAUCACUCGCAUUCUCACAGUUAUCACAAAUUUCUCUGGGCUGUGCCAGCGAAGGACAGAAUGGGUGAGGAUCCCUGGUCACAGGCAUUCCAUUCACUGCCUGCUCAUCUGCCUCCCACCCCUGUCUGUUUCUUUUCUUGGAUUCUUCUCUUCUUGUGUUUUUUUCCCACUUAUCUCCUCACAGGAUAUGAGUAACAGCCUCCAAAGUCAAACUGAGUUACUCACUUCCUCCACAUGGGAUCACAGGUCCCCAAAGCACACAUUCUGCAGAAUCACACAAAUAUUUGCAUGCCUGCCCUACAGUAGGAAUGAGCUUUGGGAGAGCGACCCUGUGAGAUUUCUUGCAUUCCAUGUGUUCUAUCAGGUAAUAGAAGCAGAAGGAAAGUGGGUUUGGCUGUGCCCUCAGUUGGCCUCCUGUCAGCUAGAGCAAUUAGACAUUCAGAGAUGGCCACUCUGCUUCGCUGGCUUGGAAGAUGGGGGCAAAAUGCUCAUUCCCAUGUCUCCACCCUACAAGGCCUGCAUGGAUGACCUCCAUUGUUGA
rnacentral:lncRNA from 1 species